rnacentral:tRNA from 1 species
CCUUCGAUAGCUCAGUUGGUAGAGCGGAGGACUGUAGAGGUUUAUAGCGAUCCUUAGGUCGCUGGUUCAAAUCCGGCUCGAAGGA